rnacentral:rRNA from 1 species
AGGAUUAACGCUGGCGGCGUGCCUAACACAUGCAAGUCGAACGAGAGUAGCAAUACUCUAGUGGCAGACGGGUGAGUAACGCGUGGUCAACCUUCCCUUUAGUGGGGGAUAACUAGCCGAAAGGUUAGCUAAUACCGCAUACGAUCUAUGAGUGGCAUCAUUUAUAGAUGAAAGAAGCAAUUCGCUUAAGGACGGGACCGCGUCCCAUUAGUUAGUUGGUGGGGUAACGGCCUACCAAGACUCCGAUGGGUAGCUGGUUUGAGAGAGCGACCAGCCACACUGGGACUGAGAAACGGCCCAGACUCCUACGGGAGGCAGCAGUGAGGAAUUUUCCGCAAUGGGCGAAAGCCUGACGGAGCGACGCCGCGUGUGGGAAGAAGGCCUUCGGGUCGUAAACCACUGUCGAAGGGGAAGAUAUUGACGGUACCCUUGGAAGGAAGCCCCGGCUAACUACGCGCCAGCAGCCGC